CAGAACGGGCUGUAAUCCGUUCCCUCUCUCUGCUGCUUUCUGUGCUGCUCAUUCCAGGGAACGUCUCCUCACGGCAGUGAGUCUGAGAUCUGAUUGAUUACUGAUCAAGAUCCUUGCAGAUGACAUGCAGUCUCAGAGAAGAGUGGAGGUGCAUGACCAUCUCAAUGGCUCGCGGAUCAUUUUCUCGGACGAGGCUCUUCCCGGCAGUGGAU